UACGUAGGAGGCGAGCGUUAUCCGGAUUCACUGGGCGUAAAGCGCAUGUAGGCGGUUGCACAAGUCCGUUGUUAAAGCCCCUGGCUCAACUGGGGGAGGUCAAUGGAGACCGUGCGACUUGAGGGCAAUAGAGGCACGUGGAACUCCCGGUGUAGCGGUGGAAUGCGUAGAGAUCGGGAGAACACCAGUGGCGAAGGCGACGUGCUGGGUUGCACCUGACGCUGAGAUGCGAAAGUGUGGGGGAGCAAACGGG
rnacentral:rRNA from 1 species